GAAUGAUAAUUGUGGAGAAACGGGCCAUAGCACGGAUCGAUGCAAAGGGAGGGACUAUAGGAGAAGUAGGCGUAACACCCCCCCAAACAAAGAAGCAGAUAAAUGCUUUCGAUGUGGAGAACAGGGACAUCGAGCGCCACAAUGUUUAGCUGCCCUACCUAAGGCGCACGCCUCCAGUGGAGAAUACGCAACCUCAGACAAAGAAGCUGGGCCUAUCGCGCACUGCUCCAAUGACGAUUACGCGCAUUUGAACCGAGAACAACUUGUCGCCAUGUUAAACAGUUUGAAAGCAUAGGAAUUACCGGCCUCCUUUUCAGUCAGUAGUAUAGAAACUCAGGCUCAUUGCAGACCGUAUCUUAGUGCGUGGGUAGGAGGCCGGCCAUGCGAUAUGCUAAUUGAUACUGGCGCUUCUGUUUCUAUCACUGACCUACCGCUCCCUUGUACAAAGCAUUCCAUUGAUCUUGCUGGCAUUGGGGGUAAUUCUGUCCGCGCAUAUAAAUCCUUUCCAGUACUUGUGGAAUCCAAUAAUGCUUAUUGGACACAAUCAUUUUUCAUUUGUAGGACUGCAGAAGGUACCAUCCUCGGUUCUGACGGCAUGAGAUUACUGAAAGCUACUGUUGCAUACUCGCCUAUGGCUUUGUCAGUUUGUGACGCUUCUCAUAAACGCAAGACAUUGCCAUUAGCUGCUCUUUCCCAUACUGCUAUAGCAUCUGUUGCAACACCUAUUGUCCAUUCCUGGGAUUUGACUAACAAGUUCCAAGCUUUAUGUGCAACAUUCCCUGCAUGCUGGUCUGUGCACAAACUGGAUUGUGGAGCUGCACCAUUACCACCACUUGAGGUAACAGGGACUAUGCCCUCACCUGUGAAACAAUACCCAAUUAAACCAGAAGCUGCUCAAGCAGUUGGCUCAAUCAUUCAGUCCUUGCUUUCACAGGAGGUCAUUGAGCCAUGUGUCUCACCCUGUAAUUCUCCUGUCUGGCCUGUGCAAAAACCAGAUGGCUCAUGGCGCCUGACAAUUGAUUACAGAACGGUUAAUGCUGCUGCAGACAAACUUGCUCCAAUUGUUUCUGACCCAAACACGCUGCUUGCUGAUAUCAAACCUAGUCACUGUAUAUUUUCUGUGAUAGACAUUGCCAAUGGAUUCUGGGCCCUGCCUGUUGCUGAAAACUCAAGAGCUUGGUUUGCCUUCACACACCAGAACACGCAAUACACAUGGAAACGCAUGCCUCAGGGCUUUCAUAACAGCCCUACGCUUUUCCAUCGCGCAAUGGCCAAGAUUCUAGCAACAGUUUCAUGGUCUCAGUAUGAAGGAACACAGUGCCUCCAAUAUGUUGAUGAUAUUCUCUUGGCUUCUUCUGACCCUGUCUCUCAUUUCCAGGCUCUGGAAGCUUUACUCAAAGCUUUGGAAAAAUACAAUAUGAAAGCAAGUCCAAAGAAGGCCCAAAUCGCACAAGACGCUGUCCAGUAUUUGGGCUUUACCAUAUCCCAGGGCUCGAAGCAACUCACUGUUGACCGGAGAACUGCUAUUGCCACUGCUCCGCGUCCCCGCACUGUCCGUGAUGUUCGUAAGAUUCUGGGACUUUUUAACUUCUGCAGGAACCACAUACCUGACUUUUCUGUUAUUGCAACACCAAUCAAUGCUCUUUUGAAGGGCUCCCAUCGCCCAUUGGAGACCGUUGAUUGGACAACCGAGUGUGAAGAUGCAUUCAGCACUCUCAAAUCUGCUCUCACUUCUGCCCCUGCUUUAGGUUUCCCUUGUUCUGACCUCCCGUUCUUUCUAUGGUCAGCUGUGAAACAAGGCCACAUGACAGCCGUUCUUACUCAGCCCCAUGGAGGCAUACAACGCCCCGUUGCUUACUAUUCUUCUCGCCUGGAUUCUGUCGCUUCUGGUCUUUCCCCUUGCUUACAGGAAGUGCAGGCUGCCGCCACAGCAGUAACGGUCUCCGCUGCACUAGUCUCAGGAGCUCCACUCUCUGUCAAUGUCUCUCAUGCUGUGCAUAACAUACUAACCCAAGGCCGUUUCUCUCGUGUUUCAGCAGCCAGGUGGACUAGAUGGGAAGCCAUCUUGUUAGCUCCGCUUAUCACACUCAUCCACUCCCCAGCUGUGAACCCAGCCACUCUCUUACCUGUCGAGGGAGACGGGGAGCCACAUGAGUGCCCAUUGUCUCCAGAUCACCCAUCCAAUUCAGACAUCUCUGAAACACCUCUUUCUGACAAUGAUUUCUCACUUUUUGUUGAUGGAUCUCGUUUUUACAAUGGGGCCCACCCAGUUACAGGAUAUGCAGUUGUUGACAUUGCUGGUCAGGUAAUGGCAUCAGGCCGCCUUCCAAGUUCAGAUUCAGCACAGGUGGCUGAACUUGUUGCCCUCACUCAUGCCUGUGAGUUGGGUUCUGGGAAACGACUUACUAUAUACACUGAUUCCAGGUAUGCAUUUGGUGUUGUCCAUGACUUUAUGGUUAACUGGUCAUCUCGGGGUUUCCUGACUUCAUCAGGUACCCCGAUAAAAAUGGGGGGUUGUUCAGAAUCUCAUAACUGCCUCUAAACUACCAAACAAACUAGCAGUUGUAAAAGUGAAAGCGCACACUAAAGGACAAGAUGCAAUCAGCUUGGGUAACCACUGGGCAGAUGAAGCUGCCAAAGCAGCAGCUUUAAAUGACUCCCUGCCUACUUACAAAAUUGCAGCUAUUGACAUGUCGGGUCCAACUAACAUUGACAUAGCUAAACUACAGGAUGCCUGUACAAGAGCUGAAAAUGGACGUGGAUUGAAAAUGCAUGCACUCUUAAUGAUGACAACAUUUGGCACACACAGGACGGGAAAGUUGUUGCCCCUCAGAGCAUCCUUUCAUUGCUUUGUGAAGUAUACCAUGGCAUUGCACACAAUGGAGAAAGAACAAUGCGGCACAACAUGUCACUUCAUUGGUGGUCUCCCAAAAUGACCAAGGUAAUGAAAGAUUUCGUUAGGCGUUGCAUCAUUUGUGCAAAAAGCAAUCAAGGUCCAAAAAUAAAAGUAAUGAUGAAACACCAGCCACGGCCUACUGGACCCUUUCAGCAAAUCCAGAUGGAUUUCAUUGGCCCUCUUCCAAAGAGCCAUGGAAAAGAACACUGUCUCGUUCUCAUAGACCACUUCACACGCUGGGUAGAAGUUUACCCUGUAGCCUGUGCAAAUGCCGCAACCACGGCAAAAUAAUGCAUCUGAAUUCUGCCCACGCUGGGGCCUUCCCUGCUACAUAGACUCAGACCAAGGGACCCACUUCACCGGUAAAGUAAUGAAACAGACUCUGAAAGAUAAACAAAAGGAGGGGGGGCAAGAAUCGCAGACAUAUGAACCUGGACAAUGGGUUAUGAUAAGAGCCCCUCAUCCUAGAUCUUUCCAACCUCGAUGGCAAGGACCACACCAGGUCUUACUAACCUCUGAGACUGCUCUUCGAGUUACAGGCAUCCCGGUCUGGAUCCACCAAUCCCGGACCAAACCAUGCCCAUCACCCGAAGACCUCAAAAAGCCUGAAGAACUCCCUGCCACGGACGACUGCAGCCUUCACGAAUCAGGUGCAAACGUUCCAAUUUUUUCACAUACUCAACCAAAUUGAGCAUUCAAGUUAUGCUCCCAUCCAACAUGCUGAAUUCAUUUGUAAUUAUAAUCACAGUUUUGAGCCAUGGUGGAGUAAGUGCUGUGGACAAUAACAUUUACAUGCAAUUAGUUCACAUGACAGCCAAACAUGCAAAUAAGACUGGCUGCUAUGUCUGUGGAUUAAUACCACAUUCUGUCGCACUUGGUGUUCCAAUGAUGUCCGUACCUAUCGCCUCCAAGUAUAACACUGCAGAUAGCGAUAGCAAAAGUGAACUUGUUACCAGACCUAAACAUAUAUGUGAUCCUGAACCCAUUAACAUUGCUCUGUCUCUUGGCCCAUAUCUGUGGUGCCUCAAACAAAAUGGCUCUAUUUAUGUUGGAGAGACCCUGGACUGCAAUACGGUUAUUAACUACCAUGAUAAACCUGUACAAAACCACACAGCUAUGGGAGUCUAUUGGGUUUGUGGGAACAAUGCCUAUUCUGAGUUGCCUAAUUCAUGGUCUGGUAUCUGCGCCUUAGGACAUUUGGUCCCGGCCAUGAGAAUUACAUCUAUUCUACCGGACCGAGCCAGAUAUGAAAGAUCAACUGACGUCUUUGGAACUCACCAUCAGUCUGUUUGGAACAGAGCACUUGGUGCUCUCAUUCCUACUUAUGGGGUUAUGUCCGCUCUAGAUCAAAUUGGCGACCUCUCCAAAGAGGUAGAGCUUUUGGCCAAUAGCACGGCAUUAGGUCUAGGCAAAAUUUCAGAGGAAUUGACAGCUGUCAGAGUGAUGGCUCUACAGAACAGAGCUGCAUUAGAUUAUAUCCUCUCAGCUCAGGGUGGGACAUGUAAAAUAAUUGGCAUCGAAUGCUGUUCCUAUAUUCCCGAUAAUCAGGAUGACCUGAAACGUGUGAUCUCAAAAAUCAAUAAUGUUUCCCGGUCCGCACAUGAAAUAUCACCUACAACACCUGGUUUUCUUGAAUGGUUAUCGAGCUAUUUGGGUGACCUUGGCAAAAUUGUAGUUGAAUACAUUUUUCUGAUUAUACUGGGAUUAACUGUACUGGCAUUGAUAAUUAAAGGUGUGAAAUUAAUUUUCGUACAGUUAAUCUGUGGUAAAACUAAUGAGCAAACCACACAAGUUGUUCACUAUACAAAGACUCCGACAGCAUACAUAAUAUAGAACCAAGUUGUAAUAACUUGGGAGUACUUGAUAAUGCCCUCACAUGGUAUUCUGUUUUCUUCCUCAUAUGCCGGAGAGGACACUCCCAUGACACCAUACCGGCGCCGAGGACACCACCCCUCCAAGACCAUGUUGCUGCAAACCAGGAGUAAAUUGCAAGAAAUCCCACCAAGCCUUGAAUCGAGCCUUCCCUACCAAACCAAUGUCACUAUCCAUCCAGCCAGCAACAGAAGGACUUUUUUCUUUACAAGUUAUGUUCUUGGAGUACAUCUCGUUCGCCCGUAAGGGGGACGUGAGGGAAUUUUGCCUGAAGUUUUCCUAACACAGGUUUUUGACAGGUUUUCGCCCUCACCCUGAACAAUGACUAAAUAAAUGUAACUGUAAAAUUGACUUAACCAUGAGAUUCAUGUUGUGUCAAAAGGAGGGACUGUUAGGAUACAGAAAGUUUGUGCUGUAGGAGACAGACAGAUUUGUGUAUUCCAAAACCUCACGUGCAUGUGAGAGUCCGCCAUUGUUUUACAAAGACAACCAAUAAGACACAGUGGUAGAAAUUGCAGCCUAUAGGGCAACUCUGUAUAACAAACAACCAAUCAGAGUUCAUGCUGUAUUCUGCGCACAAAUUUGAAUAUAUGUAAAUGUAACUGUAUAAACUCCACAAACUCUAACAGUUGAAUGGAACAUUUUUGUGUGAAUCCCUGUUGCUGGCUUUCUGUAUAAUAAAUGCUUCCUGAUUUUUAAACACUAA